rnacentral:rRNA from 1 species
AGUGGCAGACGGGUGGGUAACACGUGGGAACGUACCCUUCGGUUCGGAACAACUCCGGGAAACUGGAGCUAAUACCGGAUACGCCCUUUUGGGGAAAGGUUUAUCCGCCGAAGGAUCGGCCCGCGUCUGAUUAGCUAGUUGGUGGGGUAACGGCUCACCAAGGCGACGAUCAGUAGCUGGUCUGAGAGGAUGAUCAGCCACACUGGGACUGAGACACGGCCCAGACUCCUACGGGAGGCAGCAGUGGGGAAUAUUGGACAAUGGGCGCAAGCCUGAUCCAGCCAUGCCGCGUGAGUGAUGAAGGCCUUAGGGUUGUAAAGCUCUUUUGUCCGGGACGAUAAUGACGGUACCGGAAGAAUAAGCCCCGGCUAACUUCGUGCCAGCAGCCGCGGUAAUACGAAGGGGGCUAGCGUUGCUCGGAAUCACUGGGCGUAAAGGGCGCGUAGGCGGCCUGAUAAGUCGGGGGUGAAAGCCUGUGGCUCAACCACAGAAUUGCCUUCGAUACUGUUAGGCUUGAGACCGGAAGAGGUAAGUGGAACUGCGAGUGUAGAGGUGAAAUUCGUAGAUAUUCGCAAGAACACCAGUGGCGAAGGCGGCUUACUGGUCCGGAUCUGACGCUGAGGCGCGAAAGCGUGGGGAGCAAAC